rnacentral:lncRNA from 1 species
AUGCCGGACUGGUAUGUGGUCCUGGUGUGUGGAGGUUUGGCGGUGCUGCUGGGGUUCUCCGUGCUCCUGUGCGCGAUGAUCCUGGAUGAUCGUCGUGAUGCUGCCGCUCGAGUGCUAGCUCUUCGCGGCGGCGGCGAUCACGUGGAUUAGGCGCGGCAUCGGGGCUGACUGCUGUCGGUGUGCUGGGGCAGCUCGCGCUUGAAUGAACACUCACAAAUCUCUCUCACUGAGACUGUGGUGUCCUCGAGUGUGGUUAGUUGGGCGCAAGAAUGUGCUCAAGGAUUUGCAAUAGUGCCCGAGGUCGAGUGGUUGUAGUCGUGAGUCUGUUGUUACGAUGCUGCGCGAAUAAAGAUCUAUGUCGUGAAAAUAUAUACGUGGCAGUGACUCGGGGAAAGAAAUCUCCUCAAAAACAUGCUGCGAGAGACAAAAAUAAAUAAAACAAAACUAACAGCAGUAAAACUGCUCACAUAACCGAAACUAAAGAAAAACGGAUCCGUCGCACAAAAUUUACGAACACGCUACAACACAUAAAUAAAAAUACUGGGAUAAUAAAUACAGCGGAGGCGUUUACAAGGAAAAAGGCAAAAAGACAGGGUCCUGAGAAAACGCCUCUGGCACUGGGGCACACUCCUCUUCUAUCGGGGGAAGCGGGUUGACUAGUCGAUGAAUGCGCCUCUCCUGGCCAGGCCUCAGUGGUCUGCCAAUAGCGAUCCGAGGAUUUAAAUCAGCGAUGCUCUGGAGAUAACUCAUUACCCGCUGAGUUAAACGCUCCUGAGCGAUAACAUACUGGGCAAGGUUGGCCAGUACUGGAUCUCUCUCAAUUCGUCCACCGGGAAAAUAUGCAACUUCUCCGGGUGCUGCACGACUCGGAAAAUAAUAGUAUCCUCGCUCGCUGGCAUAGGGUACCGCGAAUCAAAGACGAGUGAGCGCCUCGUACGCAGUAGCUUCUAUGGCCAUAUGCGGAGUCGGCAUGGAUUUCCCCAUGAAGGAGACUUCCGUUGGGUCUUGGUUUGGGUAGGCGGGAGGGAUGUGCACCACUUCCCAAUAUUUCGAGGUGGAUGGGGUGAUCCUCGAUUUGAGCAACUCGUACUGGGGUGGACAGGUGGCACUCAUGGUACUGCAGGUAAAGUCCCACAAUAAUUUGACAAAACUGCCCGGGGUAGCGUCCGGGGUUCUCAGAUAGAUACUGGGGGUCGGCAUGGCAAAGGAAUGGCUGUGGGAGCAGUGCACCAGGUGAGAAGUACUUGGCAAGGUCACGAAGUGGCCUUUAUAUAGUACCGGGGCUGGGAUAAAUCAUUGGGGAAAAAGGGUGACUGGUUGUCGAUCCUGUUCUCGGGUCAAAGCCACAGAUAUACAUAUCACAUAAAUGUGACGCAUUACUGUGGGUGCCGUCGGGGUUGGUCUUGGUAGCUGCGCCCGAAAUUUUAAAAGUGCAACUGUACGCUAACGUACACAUGCAUAGUUACUACUCCAAAAAUAGGAGCGUUCAAGCAGACAACAUGCAAUAAAAGCGAUACAAGACCACACCAUUACAAAGCGUAGGAAAACUAAGGUUCGAUACAACUCGAGCGACUUAGUCUACUACGUUAAUGUCUAAGUGGGCUGGCCUUGCGGACGCCGAUGCUUCUCCACGGUUCUCACCGUCGGGAUUUGCUGGCUGAGGCUGAGGGGCUGCAGGGUCGGGGAAGUGGUGAUGACCAUCGCGGGGGUUGUUGGCCACAAUCCCGUUGGAAUGGGUUCCCAAAAGACGACGAAGCGCUUCUGGGGUCACCAAAGCACUCUGGUUGAUGGCUGGCGCAGACCUCAAGGGAUCGAUCGGGUGUCCGAACAGCACGACUGGGUUGUCGGUGUCGGGCUCCGCUUCUCUUCUUGCCGGGGCUCGGCGAACCAGUUCUCCACGAGCUGCGAUCAGAUCAAGGGUGACCUGAUCGAACAGUUGCUCUAGCGCGCUUACAUAGCGCACCAGGUGCAACAGCGCAGGAUCUGUCUCGUGGUCUCCGUUGGCAACCUGGGGCGGCCUACCAUACCCGUCACGACUGGGGUAGUAGUAGAACGAGCGAUAGUUAACUCUGGGCGACAAGUGCCGGAGUUGAACUAUAGCUUCUCGGGCUGCCAGUUGGAUGGCUUGCGGCUCAAAGGAAGUUGUCCUGCCAGUGAACCUGUAGGGGCGUUCUGGCGACAGACCCCUACCGUAGAUGUGCACAGUGGCCCAGUACUGACGGCUCUCACCGUACAUGGGUCCCUGGUACACAACAUACUCAGGAGGCUCUUCCAACGCAUAGGCACGGCGGGUGAGGUUUGCGAGCACGGUCAGAAAACCUCCCAGGUUGGUUGCUGUGGUCUCAUUGUGAACAAUGGGACCAGGCAUUGUGGCUUGGUUUUGGGGGAAGAGGCUGUGCUGUGCUGUGGCUAGCAUGCCCUUUUUAUAGGAAAAGGGGACGGAGUCUUCCUCCGCACGCUUGCGAUAGAGACGGGUUGGGUGUCGGUCACUGGCGCGUGAUCGACGGGCUAGGCUGAUAGGUUGGGCACCGUCCGCCGAAAGGCGUCGGGUCACUGUGGGGCUAUCUUACGCAGGAAGCUUGACCGGGGUUAGGCUAAGGUCUGGUGGUCUGGUUAACCUAGGUUUAUUGACCUGGCUAAGAUAGGGUUAGCCAAUGGUCAGCCUGGCUCUGAUACCAAGUCUGUCAUGACCGGAUUUUUGGGAUAAUAGUUUCCCAGAAAAACGGCCUUUGUGCUCACCAGCCCCAGGAUUAUACAAGAAUCCCAAGCAAGGUACAAAAAUAUGUAGUACAAGACCAUUGUGGCCUAGGAGUACAACAUUUGGUUUCUAAUGGUUGAGGGCGGAAGCGGUUGGAUACAUCUACGUCUAUGGGACUCCAUUUCCCACAAGAACAGCUGGCCAGGAUAACUCCUAUCUUCGCAAGGUUGCUAUCGUCAACACGUAGGCUCCGAGGCUGUCACCGCGAUGCUUAUCUCCAUGCGCGAAAAUCUGGCCAAGACAAUAGCCAGGGACAAGCCAAUGAGUACGUUUGAAUGUACUUGCAAACAUUAAGAACACGGGUAUAAUAUAACAGGAGAUAAUCAUACUCCGAAACAUUUAUGAUGAUAAGUCUGCCAUGAAGUAAACAAAAAUCUGCGAUGCACGCGUGCAGAGAAAACAUGGACGUGCAAUACGGGAGUAAAAGAAAUGCACUGAGCGAGAAGUCGGGCGGUAGUCCUCCCGAAAUCCCAAAAUAAAAUACUGGGUGCCAAACGAGGGUCUGAAUGACUCCUCGAGAGGAAACUGCAAGAAUAGUAAUACUGGUGCCAAACGAGGGUCUGAAUGACUCCUCGAGAGGAAACUGCAAGAAUACUAAUGCCGCAGUCGGGCGUCGGGGAGACGCCACAUAAAGGGCUUAUAACAGAAAAUAAAGGCAAUGCGUGCCACAGUCGGACGUCUGAGCAACAUCACAUAAAGGGCUUAUAAAGGAAUAAAGAAACCACAAGCAAGCCGCAGUCGGGCGUUUGAGCGACACCACAGAAAGGGCUUAUAAAAGAAUAAUCACAGUGAAUAUCCAAGGGGUAGAACCAUCCUAGGGAUACUCAACAAAAAUACAUAAUGUAAAUGGUUAGUCCAUAAAAAAUUAUAACAUGAUCCUCAGAUGCCAUAGGUCAUAAACAAAAAUUUAGUCUAGCCGUUUCUCCAUCCGAAGACCGUCGCUGAGUUCUAGCUAAUUCGUUCUCCAUCCGAAUACCGUUACUAUGAUCCAGCUAAUUCGUUCUCCAUCCGAAUACCGUCACUGAGUUCUAGUUAAAUCGUUCUCCAUCCGAAUACCGUCACUGAGUUCUAGUUAAAUCGUUCUCCAUCCGAAUACCGUCACUGAGUUCUAGUUAAAUCGUUCUCCAUCCGAAUACCGUUACUAGAUUCAACUCAGACUGUGGUCCUUAACUAGGAACAUAGCUAUCCGACAGGACUAUAUCCUCUGCAGAGGGAGUACUAUUUUCCCACAAGUAACGGGUUUACUUAGUCCAUCGGGACUAAUUCCGUCUACGGUCUUUUAAUUGAAAACACGCCUGACCUACACACACCAGCUUAACUCACCGGUGUCUGGAAUCACCCACGACACCUGCCAAGCAAAACUCUAAGUGGGGAGGCUACAACCUCGAUGUAGCAUGGGAUCAAAUUUCUAUACGCGCGCUCUAAGGGGGUGCCCCCCCCUCUCGGUCCCAACCGGAAACACCCAUGCCCCCGGACCAAGUGGCCUGCCUACCGGAGGCCUCCGGUAUCUUCCACUAUGGCCUCUCUGUACGGUGUGUGCUUUGGUAAGGGGUUGACAACUUACUGAACCAUACCCCGUCUGCGACAGGGACAAGUGGUGGUACCAACAAAUAGGGAAGCUACUGACCAAGACUCGACCUACGACCGACUCAGGUGGUCCAGGUAUCCUCCAACAAUAUUACCAACAGUGGAAUAAAUCACCAGUCAUCAAGCCUCACCAUGCCAUACCGGACAUACUCGUCUCGACGAGGGACUAGGGACAAGCUCGUGUCUACACAAGACCACGACUUUCCCGGCGUCCUUCCAGUAUGCAUGAGGAGCUCACGAGGAUGAUCCAAAUCACUAUCGUGUCCAUUGCUGACCACCCAAAACAACUCCAAAGUGCACUCAUGCACGAGACUUUGCCGAUACAUAAGAAUAACACAUACUCCAAGCCAAAUGGUGUUGUAUCGUAUCGAGACACCACAACAAAAUAUUAUGCCAGAGUUCAGAAAUGCUUGCCUUCAAGAGUAUGCAAGGGAUGCACUUUUUGGAAGCUUUCCCUUUUCUCCAAAAUCCUAUUUUGCAAAAUAUCUAAAUAACAAAUAUUUCAAACACAGUACAAAAAGUUGUCUCAAAUAUUUUUUAAAUAAAUCUUAAAAUAAACUAGAUGAAAUUUUAGAGAGGUAGGAAAAAGAAUCAACUCAUUUGGAGUUUUAUUUUAAAAGUUAUAGCCAGUCAAAGUUUGGUCAAAUCUCUGUUUUUAAAUAAAACCAGAAAAGAAAACGUUUCGAGGGGAAAUACGCUUUCGUAGUAGAGGAAACGUACUCAGGACGUCUGCGCCUUCACUUAAAACAGAGCAGACGGCGCGUGGGUCACUGACAGUGGGUCCAGAGGGCCCACUGGUCAGGUUUGAUCGUUCUUCCCUCCUUCUCCUCUCUUCUACCCGACGGGAGCGGGGCUCCGGCGAUCGCCGUCGACGAACGGCAGUGCCACACGGGCAUCCAAGAGCGGGGAUGGAAUGGCCAGACCGAGGCGGUCUUCUGGGUGGUCGCUGGGCCGCCGGAGGUGGGAGGAGUCGCCGGCGGCGAGCUCCGCGGCGGAGGGGGCGACGGUGGCGAAGUGACUUUUGUGCUCCGGUGGUCUCCGACCGAAGUUGGGUAGUUGGGCAGCUCCGCAUGGACUAGAGAAAACUACUGGUGGCGUUGGUUGGGCGAAUGAGCGGCUGGUUGCGACGAAUCGCACCGGAGCUUGGCGGCGGCCGAAUUGGCCGGAGUUGAGGAAGAUGGCCACUACGGGUCGAUCCACUGCUUGGGAAGCUCUACGGGGGAAGUCUGAUGUCGCCUGAAGCCUUGAACGAGCUCGGGGACCCUUUAUAUAGGCGCUCGAGGUUGGACCGUGGUGGCUGCAGAUAAGAUCGCCGGCGAUAGCCGUUUCUGUAGCUGCAGGGCGCCGUGGCGGCGACGAACGCGUGCCGACGAGCAUGAGGAUAAGCACGAGCUAUUCACAGGGGCAGCUGGCGCGCUGGUGUGGUUUGGGCGGUGCCGGACAUGGCAGAGGCCGCUGCCGACGCCGGCGUGCCGCCAAGGGCGCUGCCCGCGGCGCUGCAGGGCGCCAGAGAUGCCGUGGAGCAGGGAGCGGGCUAGUGCGCGGUUCAGCGAUGCAGUAGGGGCCAGGGACGGGUCGCGUCGAGUGCGGCGUGUCGGCUCAGUGCGCGCGCGUGCAAAACGUGCGCUCUGGGCGCGCCCAGAGCACGCACGGCACUUGCUCGACGAAAUGCCAGUGCGGUCUAGAGCGCGAGGGUGGAGCUGGCACUUCACAGGAUGGAGGUAGGGGUAGCAAGGCGCUCAGUGGACAUGGUUGCUGGGUCGUUGGAGCAAGUCCAUAGUGCAAAUUAGGAAACAUGCCUCAACCUGACUGUGCACACCAAGUGUUCGACAGAAUGCCAAGUGCACUUAGGCAACUCUUGGACUGGCCAAAGUCUCCAGGUCAGGGUCUCUUUAGAUGAAGGAGAUGGUGGUAAGAUCACUUGGGUAAAACCUGAAACUUGUUAGUGCAAGUCUUGGAGAAAACCAGUUUUGGGCAGAAACUAAAGGCUAUCAUUGCAUGCACCAAAAAUAUGCCAAAGGGUCCAAUCUCCUGGACUUAAGAGUUUGGCGGAGAGGGCUAUAGGUAGGAAAAAGCUCAAGAGCAGUAGAGUAAAAUAGAAUGGGGUUGCAGUUCAAAACACCAAACUGGACCAGAAUGAAAAAGAGGUUGAUUCACUCAAAUUUUUCAAAGAACAACACUGGGUUUUUGCAUAGAGUUGAAUUGUAUGCAUCCACUGACAUCUCCAAACACUUGGAAGAAUUUUUAAAGAAAUUUUUAAAUGGUUUGUAGUGCAAAAGUGCCUACUGGACCAGAUUGGAAAAGUUGGUGUAGAGCUCAAAAUCUCCAAUGGCCAAAAGGUAUUUUUGCAUAAAAGUGAUGUGGAAACAUCACAUGACAUCCCCAAAUUUUGGUGAAAAUUUUGAAGGCAUUUAUCAAAAGUUUGCAGUGCAAAAAGGGGCUCCAAAAUUAUGAAAGAUCAUUUUAAAGGCAUCAAAUCUCCUGGAAAUUUAUUAUGCAGAUAAAUCCACUGAUAUGGAAUUGUUUUUAUAAAAAGGCAUAUAAGUCCAAUAAAACUUUUGGGAAGUUUUCCAUUAGGGGCAAAAAUCCAAAAUAAUAAAAGGGUAAAUCCUGACGAAUGGAAAAGUUUUAUUUCCUGGCAAAAUUUUAAUAAAUAAAACAAGGUCAAAAUUUUUGGGUGUCACACCCGAUGAUCGGCGAGCCAUAGAAAAUAAAUGGAUCUUUAAGAAGAAGACAAACGCGGAUGGUAAUGUGACCAUCUAUAAGGCUCGACUUGUCGCUAAGGGUUAUCGACAAGUUCAAGGGGUUGACUACGAUGAGACUUUCUCACCCGUAGCGAAGCUGAAGUCCGUCCGAAUCAUGUUAGCAAUUGCCGCAUACUAUGAUUAUGAGAUAUGGCAGAUGGACGUCAAAACGGCAUUCCUUAACGGCUUCCUUAAGGAAGAAUUGUAUAUGAUGCAGCCGGAAGGUUUUGUCGAUCCUAAGAAUGCUAACAAAGUAUGCAAGCUCCAGCGCUCAAUCUAUGGGCUGGUGCAAGCAUCUCGGAGUUGGAACAUUCACUUUGAUGAGAUGAUCAAAGCGUUUGGGUUUACACAGACUUAUGGAGAAGCCUGUGUUUACAAGAAAGUGAGUGGGAGCUCUGUAGCAUUUCUCUUAUUGUAUGUGGAUGACAUACUAUUGAUGGGAAAUGAUAUAGAAUUCUUGGAAAGUAUAAAGGCCUAUUUGAAUAAGUGUUUUUCAAUGAAGGACCUUAGAGAAGCUGCUUAUAUAUUAGGCAUCAAGAUCUAUAGAGAUAGAUCAAGACGCCUCAUUGGUCUUUCACAAAGUACGUACCUUGACAAGAUAUUGAAGAAGUUCAAUAUGGAUCAGUCCAAGAAGGGGUUCUUGCCUGUAUUGCAAGGUGUGCAAUUGAGCACGGCUCAAUGCCCGACCACGGCAGAAGAUAGAGAAAAGAUGAGUGUCAUCCCCUAUGCCUCGGCCAUAGGGUCUAUUAUGUAUGGCAUGCUGUGUACCAGACCUGAUGUAAACCAUGCCGUAAGUUUGGUAGGAAGGUACCAAAGUAAUCGCGGCAUGGAACACUGGACAGCGGUCAAGAAUAUCCUGAAGUACCUGAAGAGGACUAAGGAUAUGUUUCUCAUUUAUGGAGGUGACGAAGAGCCCGUCGUAAAGGGUUACGUCGACGCUAGCUUCGACACAGAUCUGGAUGACUCGAAGUCACAAACCGGAUACGUGUAUAUUUUGAAUGAAGGAGCAGUAAGCUGGUGCAGUUGCAAGAAAAGCGUCGUGGCGGGAUCUACAUGUGAAGCGGAGUACAUGGCAGCCUCGGAGGCAGCACAGGAAGCAGUCUGGAUGAAGGAGUUCAUUACCGACCUAGGGGUGAUUCCCAAUGCGUCGGGCCCGAUGACUCUCUUUUGUGACAACACUGGAGCUAUUGCCCUUGCGAAGGAGCCCAGGUUUCACAGGAAGACCAGGCAUAUCAAGCGUCGCUUCAACUCCAUUCGUGAAAGUGUUCAAAAUGGAGACAUAGAUAUUUGUAAAGUACAUACGGUUCUGAAUGUAGCAGAUCCAUUGACUAAACCUCUCCCUAGAGCAAAACAUGAUCAACACCAGGACGCAAUGGGUGUUCGAUUCAUCACAAUGUAACUAGAUUAUUGACUCUAGUGCAAGUGGGAGACUGUUGGAAAUAUGCCCUAGAGGCAAUAAUAAAUGGUUAUUAUUAUAUUUAUUUGUUCAUGGUAAUUGUCUAUUGUUCAUGCUAUAAUUGUGUUAUCCGGAAAUCGUAAUGCAUGUGUGAAUACAUAGACCACAACGUGUCCCUAGUAAGCCUCUAGUUGACUAGCUCGUUGAUCAACAGAUAGUCAUGGUUUCCUGACUAUGGACAUUGGAUGUCAUUGAUAACGGGAUCACAUCAUUAGGAGAAUGAUGUGAUGGACAAGACCCAAUCCAAAGCAUAGCUCAAAGAUCGUGUAGUUCGUUUGCUAGAGCUUUUCCAAUGUCAAGUAUCUUCUCCUUAGACCAUGAGAUCGUGCAACUCCCGGAUACCGUAGGAGUACUUUGGGUGUGCCAAACGUCACAACGUAACUGGGUGACUAUAAAGGUACACUACGGGUAUCUCCGAAAGUGUCUGUUGGGUUGGCACGGAUCGAGACUGGGAUUUGUCACUCCGUAUGACGGAGAGGUAUCUCUGGGCCCACUCGGUAAUGCAUCAUCAUAAUGAGCUCAAUGUGACUAAGGAGUUAGUCACGGGAUCAUGCAUUGCGGUACGAGUAAAGAGACUUGCCGGUAACGAGAUUGAACAAGGUAUUGGGAUACCGACGAUCGAAUCUCGGGCAAGUAACAUACCGAUUGACAAAGGGAAUUGUAUACGGGAUUGAUUGAAUCCUCGACAUCGUGGUUCAUCCGAUGAGAUCAUCGUGGAACAUGUGGGAGCCAACAUGGGUAUCCAGAUCCCGCUGUUGGUUAUUGACCGGAGAGGCGUCUCGGUCAUGUCUGCAUGUCUCCCGAACCUGUAGGGUCUACACACUUAAGGUUCGGUGACGCUAGGGUUGUAGAGAUAUGAGUAUGCGGAAACCCGAAAGUUGUUCGGAGUCCCGAAUGAGAUCCCGGACGUCACGAGGAGUUCCGGAAUGGUCCGGAGGUGAAGAAUUAUAUAUAGGAAGUCCAGUUUCGGCCACCGGGAAAGUGUCGGGGGUUAUCGGUAUUGUACCGGGACCACCGGAAGGGUCCCGGGGGUCCACCGGGUGGGGCCACCUAUCCCGGAGGGCCCCAUGGGCUAAAGUGGGAAGGGAACCAGCCCUUAGUGGGCUGGGGCGCCCCCCAUGGGCCUCCCCCCUGCGCCUAGGGUUGGAAACCCUAGGGUGGGGGGGGCCCACUUGACUUGGGGGGGAAGUUUCCCCCCCUUGGCCGCCGCCCCCCCACAGAUGGGUUCCUGCCGGCGCCCCCCUCCUAGGGGGCCUAUAUAAAGGGGGGGAGGGAGGGCAGCAAUACUACAGCCUUUGGCGCCUACGGUGUAGUAGGAGUCGUCGUUGACAGUGGCGUCUGGCUCCUGGGCUCCAGCAUCUGGUUGCGACAACCAGGAAGAAAGGGAAGGGGGAAAAAGAGGGGGAAAAGCAACCGUGAGUACUCAUCCAAAGUACUCGCAAGCAAGGAUCUACACUACAUAUGCAUGGGUAUCUGUGUAAAGGGGCAAUAUCGGUGGAUUGAACUGCAGAAUGCCAGAAUAAGAGGGGGAUAGCUAAUCCUGUCGAAGACUACGCUUCUGGCAGCCUCCACCUUGCAGCAUAUAGAAGAGAGUAGAUGGUAAGUUCACCAAGUAGCAUCGCAUAGCAUAAUCCUACCCGGCGAUCCCCUCCUCGUCGCCCUGUUAGAGAGUGAUCACCGAGUUGUAUCUGGCACUUGGAAGGGUGUGUUUUAUUAAGUAUCCGGUUCUAGUUGUCAUAAGGUCAAGGUACAACUCCAAGUCGUCCUGUUACCGAAGAUCACGGCUAUUCGAAUAGAUAAACUUCCCUGCAGGGGUGCACCACAUUACCCGACACGCUCGAUCCCUCUGGCCAGGCACACUUUCCUGGGUCAUGUACGGCCUCGGGAGAUCAACACGUCGCAGCCCCACCUAGGCUCAACAGAGAGGUCAGCACGCCGGUCUAAAUCCUAUGCGCGCAGGGGUCUGGGCCCAUCGCCCAUUGCACACCUGCACGUUGCGUACGCGGCCGGUGAGCAGACCUAGCCUCCCUUAUACAUGAGAAGGCGUUCCAGUCCAACCCGGCGCGCGCCGCUCAGUCGCUGACGUCAAAAAGAGCUUCGGGUGAUACCACGACGCUGGUUGCCCAUAUCUUGUCCCACGUGACGGUUAAUGCGUAUAAGGUCAACGACCCAACUCAGAUCAAAUACCAAGAUCUCGUUAAGCGUGUUAUUUUGAAGUAACCGCGGACGCCAACCAGGGCCGGGCCCACCUCUCUCCUAGGUGGUCUCAACCUGCCCUGUCGCUCCGCCACAAAGUAACAGUCGGGAGCCGUCGGGAACCCAGGCCCACCUCUACCGGGAUGGAGCCACCUGCCCCUUCAGCCCCCAUCUCAAAACAGUAUCAUAAGUAAUGUAACAGUACAAAGUAUAUAGCAUAUGCCCGUGAUCACCUCCCGAAGUGAUCACGGCCCAAUAGUAUAGCAUGGCAGACGGACAAGAAUGUAGGGCCACUGACGGAAUACUAGCAUCCUAUACUAAGCAUUUAGGAUUGCAGGUAAGGGUAACAACUAUAGCAACAACGACAGGCUAUGCAGCAGAAUAGGAUUAAGCGAAAGCAGUAACAUGCUACACUACUCUAAUGCAAGCAGUAGAGAGAAGGAAUAGGCGAUAUCUGGUGAUCAAAGGGGGGGGCUUGCCUGGAAGCUCAGCCGAGAAGGAGGGGUCGUCAACACCGUAGUCGUACUGGGUAGCAGCGGCGUCGGUCUCGGUGUCUAACGAGAGAAGAGGGGGAAGAAACAAUAAACAUAAUGCAAACAUAUGCAUAUCAAUGCAUGUCAAGACAAGUAACGGUGCCAGGCACGCCCUAACGCGGUAGGAGGUGAUACCGACGAAGGGGGAAAACAUCCGGGAAAGUGUUCCCGGUGUUUCGUGUUUUCGGAGAGAUGAACCGGAGGAGGAAAGUUGCGAGCUCGAUAUGCUAGGGAUGUGUGGCGGACGAACAGGCUGCGUAUCCGGAUUCGUCUCGUCGUUCUGAGCAACUUUCAUGUACAAAGUAUUUUCAUCCGAGCUACGGAUUAUUUUAUAUUAAUUUUAAAAUAUUUAAAUCAUUUUUAGCAUUUAUUUAAUUAUUUUAAUUAAACAUUAUGCAGAAUAGUGCUUGCUGACAUCAUCAUGACAUCAGCAGUCAACAGGGCGUUGACUGAGUCAAUCUGACGUGUGGGCCCCAGCUGUCAUCGACUGUUAACUAACCUAACAGAUUAAUUAACUAAACUUAGUCAUUAGGUUAAUCUAAUCAAGAUUAAUUAAGUUAACUAAUUCUUUAAUUAAUUAAUAUUUUAAUUAUUUAUUUAUCUAUUAUAUUUUUUAUUAAAUCUUUUUUUAAAUUUUCGUUCUGGGCGUGGGCCUCGUUGGUCAUUUGGCCAGGAGGCCAUAGCGAGCGACGGGCAGCGGAUACGGGCUUCGGGCGGAGCCGGGCGACGAGCGCCUGCCCGCCCGGCAGGGCGCUACGGGGCAGCAGGCGAAAGGGGGGGGUGCGCGGCCUGGCGUCGGCAGCCGUGGAGGUGGCCGCGACCGAGGCAGGCGGCUGGGGCGCGCGCUAGCCUAGCGCGGGCACGGCUGGGCGAAGCCGGCGCGGCCAGGGCAUGUAGCGAGUGAGGGAGCGGGGCGGGGCGCCAGCUGCAGUGGCCGCGGCAGCAGCAACAUCAGCGCACAAUAGGGGGGGCAGUAGCGGCAGGUAGACGCGGGUGCAGCGGGCAGGGGCCAGGGAGCGGAGCUCCAAGCGCGGCGGUGCUGCAGACGGGAGCGGAGCAGGCGCGUAGCAGUGGGGUAGCGGCGCGGGAGGCGAGCGGCGUGCGGACGGCGUUGACAGCGAAGCGAGGCUGGCGCGCGGGUAACGCGCGGGUGCGCGCGUGCUCACCGCGAGCACGAGCACCGGGCGGCGCAUGCACGACUGCGAGACGGCGCGAGGAGCAAAGAGGAAGAGAGGCCGGGGGCCUCACCGCGGAUCCGUAGGGUCAAGGCAGCGGGGCUCGGGGAGGUCGACAGGGACGACGCGUGGGCGGGAGGCAGGCCGGCGGGGAGGACGGGGACGCGUCGACGACGGAGAGGCGAGCGGCGUGGUUCCGGCGACGGGAUCCGGGGAUGCACGGCGUCGGGCGUGCGGCGAGGGGCGCCGUUGCCCUGGGUCGCUGGUCGGGGAGGAGGUGAGGAUGGGGCGGCGUCGGUGCGGCGGCGGGGCAGCACCGGGCCGUCGAGCCCGAGCCCGAUUGGAUCGGGGGAGAGGGAGAGUGGAGGAAAGUGGGUGCGUGGGUUAGGGUUUGCGGGGGGUGAGGGGAUAUGGGAGCGCCGGCUGGGCUUGCCGGUAGCUGGGCCGGUGGCCUACUAGGCCGAAGCCUAGUGGGGGGGUUCUCUUUUCCUUUUUGUUUGUUUGUUUGUUUUGUUUCGUUUUACUUUUCUUUUUAUUUAUUGCUUUGUUGUUUCCAUCCACUAUAAUAUAUCUAGGCAUUUUAUAAAAAUGUGUUUAUUGCACUAUAUUUACAUAUGCAAAAUAUGGCACUUCCCGAACAUUUUUGUUUUAACUUUUGAAAUUUUUUAUUGUUGACAUUAAUUUGAAUUUGAAUUUUGAAAUGGUUUCGAAACAUCGCGAGGUUGACGUGGCAUCAUUUGCGUGGGAUUACUGUAGCUUAAUUAUCCGGGCGUCACAAGGAUGCUAACCAGCGAUGGACACCUGCUGUAACCAAUCACGGUGACGCCACGACAUGCCGCCGGCGACGAGGUUUUUGCUGCAACUGUUGGACGUACAUUGACGAUUGCUACAACCAUUCAUGGCGACGCCAAGACCCGCGGCGAUUUUUUUGCUGCAGCCGGUGUUGAUUUUUGCUACUACUGUCGUUGACGAUUGCUACAACCAUUCACAAGGACACCGACGGCGGUGACACUUUGCUUCAACCAGUGUCGUUUUUUGCUACUACCGGUGUUGACAAUUGCUACAACUGUUCACGAGGACACCGACGGAGGCGACAUCAACGACAGCCUUUUUGCUGCAACUAGUGUCGAUUUUUGCUACUACCGGUCUUGACGAUUGCUACAACCGUUCAAGAAAACACCGACAGCGGCAACGGCGUUUUGCUGCAACGACGGCCGUUUGGAGUGGCGCAGCAAGCCGUAGUGCUGCAAGCAGCCGGUGACGGGGACGUGCGCUGUAGUUGUUACUACGGCGCGGAGCAGGGGGCAACAAGCUGGAGGGGCACGAGGCAUUUUGCUGCAACGGCGACCUUUGGAGUGACGGGGCGAGCCGCAGUGCUGCAAGCAGCCGGCAAAGGGGACGUGCGCCGUAGUUGCUACGAGCGCAUGAGCACCGAGGGGCAGCGAGUUGGAGAGGCGUGAGAGGAUUUUUUGCUGUUUGGUGGUCGUAGGAAGAAGAGAUAGAGGAUGGGGGUUGCGUGGCUGGAGGUUGAAGACGAGAUCCAAUGGUUAUUAUUGGGGCAAAUCAUGCGGCGGGCAAUGGACCGGUCGAACCUGGCGCCGGUCGACCGGCGCCUAUAAGCGCCCAUAUGUUUAUCAGAUGACUUGAUCAUGCUAACUACUGCCUUACUAAAACAGCGUCACUUAUUUCCAAACGGAGGGAGUAGCACUUUAAUCAGCUGGUCACUCAAUGGCGUUGCCUCUGAGACACUGUGUAUAGCUGAUGAUGAUUCUUCCAUAAAGUGAAGACCAAAUCAAGAGAAUCCGACCUGAAACGUGUUCAGAAGAAGGUAAGGUAAACAUUACCGUCCCAGGUUAUUAAUUCAAAAUUCAGAAAACUAAGAAUGGGUUAUGGCACUGAGAGAGAGAUGCAGCCACAAUCCUAUUAAAUAAAAAAUAGGAAGUGGGGAAUGUAAGAAAUUUAUAAUGCUUAGACCGUAUUAUUGAAAGAAAAAAAAAUGGCCGCAUCUCAGAAGAUAGUUAAGGACCUAAACUUUGCCUAGAGACAUGGAAUAUAACAAAUAUUCUUGAAGCUGCAAGGAUCUCUUCAAAACAAGGGAAAAGCUUCCUGUCAGCCGGCUGAUUACGCCUGUGGGCCGACCGCUUCGGCUGCUUGACGCAUGUCCCCGUGAGUCACACAUCGUUGCUGAACCUUAUCUCCUCAGGCGUCUGUCUCCAGGAAAUCUAUCUCGUCGAUCUUCUCUCUCAGCAACCAAUUACUUGUUUCUUAGCAGUUGAUCUUCACUUUCUCCCUCCCGACUCCCAUCUAGAGCCGCCACCACUCAGCCACGCAACAGAUGCGCGCACGAUCUCCGCCGCGCCAGAGGACACCGCCACCGGCCCCCUUUCUCCUUCCGUCCUCCUCUCUCCGUCCUCCUCUCUCCCCCAAACGAUCUCCCAUGGCACUCCGCUGCGAGCCCCUUUCCCCUUCCCUCCUCUCUCUCCUUAUGCACCUCUCUCUCCACCCAUGGCCCUCAUUCUGAUUCUCUUCUCAGGUGUUUUUCUGCAACAAGCUCUUUGUUGAAAAAAAACUACAACAAGAGCUCCUUUGCAAAAAAAAUCUGUAACAAUACCUUUGUUGCAAAAAAUAUAUGCAACAAGAUUGAUUUCUGUUGCAAUUUUUUUUGCAACAGGACCUCUGUUGCAAAGCUUUUCUGCAACUGGACCUCUGUUGUAAAAUUUCUGUAACAAGACCUGUGUUGCAAUGGUGAAGGUGUCACUCGGCCGUUCGAUGCGUCAGAUCUGACAGCUCGCAACCCGGCCGAUCUUUUAAAAAGAUCAGCCGGCGGACGCGUAGCACGCCCUUUAAAACAAGGACCUUAAAGGGACUAUAAAUGAUUCAAAUCCUUGAAGAUUGCUUGCACAGCUGUCUUGGGAGCUUCAGCAUUCAACCCAUAAAUCUCUAGAGAAAUACCGCAUAUCCAAACAGGCCCUUAGUGUGUUUCCUAUGAUUUUAUACGUAUGAUUGAGCAAUCCAUAGGAAUAUUUCCUAACUCCUAAGGAUUUCUUUGCACUAUAUUUUACAGGACACUUUCCAUUGACUCCAACCUCUUGGAAAGAUCCUAUCAUAUGGUGUAAACCAAAAGCCUUUGGUGCAAAUUCAUGAGGUAUACGAUCCUAUAUGAUUCAAGAUGACAUGACACUAACAUGUACCUUUAACUAUUGUUGCAUUUCAGAAUUCUGUGAAUCAAAGAGGCACUACUUAAACAGAUUACAGAGCUAAAUGCGUAUAGGUUGAUGAGCUUCAUUAGAUUUGACAGUUGGAAAUUCUUAAACUAGAGAAAAUUUGUCAAAAUGCACAUAAGAAGCUUCCAUGAUACCUUUGAACGACAACAGUUCAAAAUCUGCAACAGAUAACUUCUAUAAAAUGAAAAUCUUGCCGAAUUUCAAUUCAUGAAUUCACCAUACCUGUCUAGCUUCUCAUUGGUGAUAUUUCAAUCUUAGUUGUUGGUAACCCAAUAGCACGGUCAACUAAACCCACUUUAAGCAAGGGCUGAUAAGCAUAGCAAUCACAUCUUGAUCAUCGAUGACAGUUGAUAUGAAGUCAAUGCUCUGCACCCAGUAACUCACAUAAGAAACCGCCAAACAGGUGAACAUAUGCAAAUGUAAAGGAUGGAAAAUUUUCAGCUGGACAAUAGUAUAAUAAGAUGAAAGUAGUUGUGAUAGUUCAGCUGGGCUGACAAUUUCAACCGAAUCAUAUUACACAUAACAACAUGCAACAAUAGUUUUACAGUAUGAUUGUAGAAAAAUAAAGGAAAAAGACGCGGUGUUCUGGCUCUCGGGUGCAUCUGCACCCGAGGUGAUCAAUAAAUUCGUUUAAAAUAGUAAAAGAAUUCAAAAAAAUCUGAUUUUUUUUGUGAUGCUAGAUGCUCAUGUGCAUGAAGCUCGUGCCAAAUUUUGUAGAGUUUGGACAUUUCAGUGGCUCUCAGCAAAAAAAGACAAAUUUUAGGGUAGUAAGAAAGUUUACUGUUCACAUGUUGUUUUGACCGAUUUUUUCUUUUUUGCUAUGAACUCCUCAGAUGUUCAAACAAGCUGAAAUUUGGCACGAACAUCACGCGUUGUAACAUCUUCCAUCUAAAAAAAUUCAGUGCAGACGAGCCUGAGCACGAAUUGAAUAUCCAGAAAAUAAAAGUUAUUGUAGAUGAUAAGCAAAUACUCCCUCCGUCCCAUAAUAUAUGACGUUAUUACAUCCAGUAUGCUCGGGAGUAGAUGCUAGUACAAAGACCAUUAGGCCUCUGCAGCUAAAAUUUUGAUAAAAUUGCUAAGAGAACCAAGCAAUUGCCAUGAAAAAAAAUUGGACCUCACUCUGACCAAGGAUAAUUCUAACAUUGUUUGGAUAACCUGGAUAUGGUAGCAAUGAAUAAGAUUGGACCAUACAACUAAGUGUUUGGGAAGAUGAAACAGUCAAUAGAAAUUAUUCAAGUCAGGAUACGGUAAACUGGUAAAAGAGUUGAGCAGACAAACCCAACUCAUAUGCCUAACCAUCAUGUAUAGAAGAAUGAGUAAGAUGAUUAAGACAAUUUUUGUUACACAAGCCCUACAAAAGAAACAUAACGUUUCCAUAUAUGUCAAAAUUUAAAUUUAAUUUUAGAAGAACAGAGAUCACUGAAGUUGUGAGGACCAACUCUAUGGAUUAGUAACAAGUUGCAUAUACAAAUUCAGUACAAUACCUUUUCAAGUAAUGUAGAAUUGUCUGUGUUCCCAACUAUCCACAGAAUACUUGAUAGAAUAUUUUUUUGAAUGGUCACCGGGGGGGAGAGAUUCCUCACCUGAAUAUAUUGCUCAAAAAGCUGGCAAAGCCAAGAGUCACCCCUUAAGCUUUGGCUGAUCCAGUUUAUAAGGGAAACCGGAUCAAAAACCUAAACAAGUUGACCCCGUUUAUGAGGAAAACCGGGCCGAAAACCGUACAGGUAACACAGUUACAGAAGAUGAGAAAGAAAGAAAAAAAUUAAAGACACCCGAGACAUGUCACGACCUAGCUAGCAGACCGAAGGACCAUCACCAUGAGAGACACAAGUAGAUGUGGGGUGCCAUCGAGGGAUCACAAUACCAAGACUUUGCAAGCAACCUAACGCACCGCACCGGCGUGCGUACCAAGCCCCACGGCGCAACACAGGAGCAUCCACAAUCAACGAGUGCCACAGCUGGACACGAACCUUGACCGGGAGCUCCGCCACAGGAAUUCGGAACGAUUAGCAAGUUGGGGAGGCAUCUUACGUCGUCGUUGAGCAAAGAUGAACCGAGACAACACCAAGAGCAUGAAGCUCGCCGCAACACAAUGGCAUCCAUGGAAGGGUCUUGAGCAUGCACAGCAACAUGGACGACACACCAGACGAUGGGCAGGGGCGGAUGAAAGGCAGCGAAGGGCUCGGCGAAGAGGCGAAGUCGAAUGUGGUACGAGGUGGAUGGGAGGCGAUGAGAGAAUUGAAGCAAACUCGAGAGGUCAAACAGAGGGCAAAGGAAUUCACCAUACGGACAUGAAGGGGAUGCAGACCGCGCCAUCAACAUGGAGGAGCGGCGUGAGUGCGCCGCCGCGGUCGUGGCCGGACGAACCGGUAGAGAUUUCUCCCCAUCCCCAAGUCCAACGAGAAGGAGGAGGAGGCAGAACAGCGCCACCAUGGUGGGACGCGGCGCCCGCAGGCGUCACCGCUGGCAGCCGGCGGCCGCCGGCACGGAUUUCUCCAUGCAUACCCUCCACCACCACCACACCCAAACUCCGACUGACCGGACAUAGAGGAUUCAAUCCGACAGCCUGAGAAAGGGGCACCCCCAGACGAGCAGAUCCGCGACGAAAAGGGCAGCGUCGGCCGGAUCUGACGAGCAGCACGGGAGCAACCCCCCAUCGACGGCGACGAGCUGUGUGAGCAGCAGCCACCGACGGAGGGCCAGCACGCGCCGGCCGGCGGGCACUGGCGGCUCCGGGAAGGAAGAUUUGGGAGGCGGAUUUUGGAUCUUGGGAGGAGGCUGAUGUCGCGGGCGAAGAGCAGAGCAUGGCCUUGCCGCCGCGGGACCGGCCCGACGGCCUCCUCCGGCGCCGGCGAUGUGGGGGGCCGCCUCGAUCUGGCGAUGGUGGAUGCGGAGGGGAGUACCGGACGGUGAGGCAGGGGUUGGCAUGGGUGCUUCGUGCGUGGUGACAGGGGCCGGCGGGGAAGCAGCGGACGGGUGAGGCCUAGGCGGCGGCGCCCCGGUGGAUCGAAAGACGACAGGUUGCCUGGACCGAGCCCCGAUGGAUCUUGCGGUGGUGGCUUGGAUUGAAGUGGGAGAGGUCGCCGCCCGGUUUCUGGAGCCGGCCUUCGCCGCCGCCGGCGCCACGCCGGCAGCAGAGUGGUGGAGGUGGAUCUGGCGGCUAGGGUUGGGGUCGACCUACGGAGCGACACGGGAGCGGGGAGCCGCCACUUGAUAGAAUUUCAUCAGGUAAAAGAGCUCGAGCACAAGAAACAGAUGCAUUGGUCCGAAGAAUGGCAGCCAACAACCUUUCUAUGAAAUUUAGCAACAAUACUCAUUCCAACUAUCUCGGGAUGUAAGAUUUUUUUUUACAGACAGCAACACAGGUCGAAAUAAACAAAAAAGAACACUAUAACUUCUCAGUUCUCAUUGUCUGCAACUCAGAACAAUUAGAAAGCAGCUUUCCAAGUUUUGACCAUCGACUAACAGAGGAAAAAAAAUCUUAAUUUACUUGGUUCUUAUCCCCUACUAAUAUAACCUACUUUAAACACAGUUGAAAAUUGUGGGCAUUUGAUAGUUAUGUGGUAAAAUUGAAUGGGCAAGUUGUCUGACCAAUACAAAGUGCACAAAUUAAUAAAGAACAUCAAUAAUAUAUCAACAUGGUAAUCAUGUACGUGCUGAGCUAAACUUCCAACAUCUAUUUCACAUGACAAAUGUUUACUUUCACGGGAUAUCUUGCAAUGCUAGAAUAAUAAACAGCUUGCGGUCGAUAAUAAAUAAUGAAGAAAUUGGUUCUAAAAAUAAUAAUACCCAGCCCGAAUGUUUCAGAAAGGCAUUUGACAUCAUCUAGAAACAAUUGCUCCACAGUCCACACUAGUUGCAAUUAAACCUCUCGUAAAGCGAUUGUAGCAACUAGAGAUUCAUGACAAGUUAAGUUGAGCAACCAGACAUUCAAUCAAAGAUAAAUAAAUGUGAAAUAACUGCAGAUAACCAAGUAUACUGUCUUCUAGUACUAAAUAAUCAUGUUUCAAUAUCAACUUAAACAUAAGAUGGGGCAAUGUAUAUAUGCCCGAACGAAAAACUGCAGAACGAUAAUAGAAUCCACCGUACAAUGAGAGACACAUUAUUCAAGCAGAAUAGUAGGCGAUCUAAAUCUAUCAUUUAGUCGACCUCCUCAAUCUUGGGCCCUGGGCCGCUGCUGCCGCCUGCGGCACUGGCCGGAGCAUCCUCAUCCAUGCCACCAGGCAUUUCAGCGCCGGCACCCUGGUACAUCUUGGCGAUGAUGGGGUUGCAAAUGCCCUCCAGCUCUUUCAUCUUGUCAUCAAACUCUUCAGCCUCGGCAAGCUGGUUGUUGUCGAGCCAGGUGAUGGCACCAUCAAUAGUAUCCUCGAUCUUCUUCUUGUCGGCCUCUGGGAGCUUGGAGGCGAUCUUAUCAUCCUUGAUGGUGUUACGCAUGUUGUAAGCGUAGUUCUCCAGGGCGUUCUUGGAGUCCACCUUCUUCUUGUGCUCCUCGUCCUCAGCCUUGUACUUCUCGGCCUCCUGCACCAUCUUCUCGAUGUCCUCCUUGCUCAGCCGCCCCUUGUCGUUGGUAAUUGUGAUCUUGUUCUUCUGCCCGGUGGUCUUGUCCUCCGCAGAGACGUUCAGGAUACCAUUGGCAUCAAUGUCAAAGCACACGGUGAUCUGGGGGACACCCCUGGGCGCCGGUGGGAUCCCGGAGAGCUCGAACUUGCCGAGCAGGUUGUUGUCCUUGGUCCUCGCCCUCUCGCCCUCAUAUACCUGGAUGAGCACGCCGGGCUGGUUGUCAGAGUAGGUGGAGAAGACCUGCUCCUUCUUGGUGGGGAUUGUCGUGUUCCUUGGGAUCAGCACGGUCAUGACACCUCCGGCCGUCUCCAGGCCCUGCGAGAGCGGUGUGACGUCAAGCAGGAGCAAGUCCUGCACCUUCUCGUUGCCCUCGCCAGUGAGGAUGGCAGCCUGAACGGCAGCUCCGUACGCGACGGCCUCGUCAGGGUUGAUGCUCUU